GGGCGCGUAGCUCAGCUGGUUAGAGCAUUCGGCUUACAUCCGAAAGGUCGGGGGUUCGAGUCCCUCUGCGCCCACCA
rnacentral:tRNA from 1 species